UGGAAUACCUAUGCAGAGCCACGUAUCCCUGCUCUACCCACCGCCUUAUUCUUUAUUUCUUCCCCUGUUUUUCUUUUCUUUUCUUCACUCCAUCUGCACCUGUCUCUCUCAAUCUCUCGGCCUCACCUCUCUCCUUAAUCCCUAACUUCUCUUUCCCUCUUUCAUUUUUUUUCUUCUUCUUUUCUUCAACCAUCCAAGUCACGUCUCUACUCUUUUUCCUUCCCCAUCGAGAUAUACUCCCAAGUACUGGUCAUUGAUUUUCCCGGCCAAUCCACAUCGCCGCCUGUUUCUUCUUUUUCCGGCGACAUCCCAGGCCUCCACUAGUUGCUCCAAUCAGAAGUCUUAGCUGCCUAGAGCCUUCGUAUCACUAGUUACAUUUUUUUUCAAGAUGCCAAGAACUAGAGCAACUGAGUGAGAAUCCUUUCAGCUGCCUUAUUAGAGUCUCAGACCGGAGUUAGCCUAGCUGUCAGGAAUUUCAUAUUUUGGGUUGUAAUAUUAUAUCACUUUUAUGGUUGUAACUGUAACCUCGUCUAGAGAUGAUCAUGUGACGUUGUUAUAAGUUGUAAUAGUUGUUAGAACCUAUCUCAGACUUAAACCUGGCAAGAUCCUUGUUCAGGGGUGUAGUUGAAUAUUAUCAGAAUUAUCUACUAAGUUGUUAGUUUAGUUCA